rnacentral:rRNA from 1 species
UACGGAGGGUGCAAGCGUUAAUCGGAAUUACUGGGCGUAAAGCGCACGCAGGUGGCUGAGUCAGUCGGGUGUGAAAGCCCCGGGCUCAACCUGGGAAUUGCAUUCGAGACUGAAUAGCUAGGGUACGGUAGAGGGAAGCGGAAUUUCCGGUGUAGCGGUGAAAUGCGUAGAUAUCGGAAGGAACAUCAGUGGCGAAAGCGGCUCCCUGGACCAGUACCGACGUUCAGGCACGAAAGCGUGGGGAGCAAACAGG